rnacentral:rRNA from 1 species
GAUGAACGCUAGCGGGAGGCCUAACACAUGCAAGCCGAGCGGUAGAGAUUCUUCGGAAUCUUGAGAGCGGCGUACGGUGCGGAACACGUGUGCAACCUACCUUUAUCUGGAGGAUAGCCUUUCGAAAGGAAGAUUAAUACUCCAUAAUAUAUUGAUUGGCAUCAAUUGAUAUUGAAAGCUCCGGCGGAUAGAGAUGGGCACGCGCAAGAUUAGUUAGUUGGUGAGGUAACGGCUCACCAAGACGAUGAUCUUUAGGGGGCCUGAGAGGUGAUCCCCCACACUGGUACUGAGACACGGACCAGACUCCUACGGGAGGCAGCAGUGAGGAAUAUUGGUCAAUGGGUGCAAGCCUGAACCAGCCAUCCCGCGUGAAGGACGACUGCCCUAUGGGUUGUAAACUUCUUUGUAUAGGGAUAAACCUACCCUCGUGAGGGUAGCUGAAGGUACUAUACGAAUAAGCACCGGCUAACUCCGUGCCAG